CUUUCCUCCCCUGCUAACUUUGCUAACUUGGCCUCCCCUGCUUUCCUACUUGUACAAGAGAAAGGAUAACCUGCGGUGUACAAGUGAAAGGAAUCAAAGGAUUAAGGAUGUCAUCAGAAACUGCAGUUGCACCUUCUGAAACUGAAGCAGCUAGAGCGAAUCUCCUAAAAAGAAAUUCAGAUGAUGUUGGAUGGGAAUAUGGUGUUCUUGUUGAUGCUAACAACAAAGACAAGGUGAAGUGUAAGUUCUGUGACAAGGAGAUGAGGGGAGGGAUUUAUAGGUUGAAGGAGCAUCUUGCCCAUGUUGGAAAGAAUGUGAAGAAAUGCACGUCUGCAACACUGCAGGCUCUAGAGGCUAAAGAGAAGUGCAAGAAAGCAAUAGAGGCUGCAAAAAGGAAGAGGGAGGAGAAGACUGUUCGUGAGCUAGAACUUAGAGAGGAAGUGAAUGUAUCUAGGGUUGGAGAGGAGUCAGAAGAAGUCACUUGUGUUGGAAGCUCACCGCCUCACAAAUUAGGGCCAAUUGACAAAUGGACACGUGCUAUUGAUCCUACCAAGGCUGAUUCAUUCAAACAACAGCAGCUGAACAAGGAACUAUGGAAAGAAAGAGAGCAUGAGGUGCACAAGUUUAUUGCAAGAUGGGCCUAUAAUCAUGGAAUACCUUUCAAUGCAUGUGACAAUGAUGAGUUCAAGCAAAUGUGUGAAGCAAUUGGACAAUUUGGACCAGGACUUACACCUCCAACUCAAGAUGCCUUUCGAGGUAGUUUGCUGGAAGAAGAAUAUGAAAGAACCAAGUGUUUGCUGCAGGAACGUGAAGCCGAGAAGAUGAAAAAUGGGUGCUCUAUUAUGACCGAUGCUUGGUCAGAUAGGAAGAGGAGAAGCAUAAUGAAUAUAUGCACUAAUUGUGCUGAUGGAACCUCCUUCAUCAGCUCAAAAGAGAUGUCAGAUGUGUCACACACAAGCGAAGUCAUUUUUGAAUUAGUGGACAAAGCAAUUGAAGACAUUGGUGAAGAAAAUGUGGUGCAAGUAGUCACUGACAAUGCCUCUAACAACAUGGGAGCAAAGAAGCUAUUGCUUGAGAAGAGACCACAAAUAUUUUGGACCUCUUGUGCAGCUCACACAAUCAACUUGAUGCUCCAAGGAAUUGGCAAAUUGCCUCGGUUCAGGAAAGUGAUUGACCAAGCAAAGUCAUUUACCAUAUUUGUGUAUGGCCACACAAGAACAUUGGAGUGCUUGAGAUACUUCACAGAGGGGAAAGAGCUAGUGAGGCCAGGAGUGACUAGGUUUGCUUCAUACUUUCUCACUUUCAACAGUAUGCAAGAGAAGAAGGACCAGUUAAGGAAGAUGGUAGUUCAUAGCAGGUGGGACUCAUUAAAGGAUGUGAAAUCAAAGAAAGGAAAAGAGGCCACAGCUACUAUAUUGAGUCCAGCCUUUUGGAAGGAUGUGAAGCUAAUGUUGGUUGUUUUUGAGCCAUUGGUCAAAGUCCUCCGUUUGGUUGAUGGGGAUGUGAAGCCAUCCAUGGGUUUCCUUUAUGGAGAGCUACUAAAGGCAAAAAGAGAGAUCAAAGAGGCCUUUGGCAAUGUUGAGUCUCGAUUCAAAGAUGUUAUGGCUGUAAUUGAGAAGAAGAUGAAUGGAAGACUUGAUUCUCCAUUGCAUUUGACAGCUUUUUUGCUGAAUCACACUAUAGCUAUGCUAACCCAUCAAUCUUUGAUGAGCCCAAAAUGAAUGAAGCCUUCAUAUCUUGUGUCGAGCAAUUUUAUUAUCAUGAUGAGGACCAACAAGAACAGGCUGCCAACUUUGAAUUGAAAAAAUUUCAAAAUAGAGAAGGACCAUUUAGCAAGAAGCUUGCAAGAACUUUUCAAAACUAUGAUUACAAUCCAGCAUCAUGGUGGCGGUUAUAUGGAACUGAAACACCAGCUUUACAGAAGAUGGCUACAAGGAUAUUAUCUUUGACAUCAAUCUCUUCUGGUUGUGAAAGAAAUUGUAGUGGGUUUGAAGGGAUACACACUAAGAAGAGAAAUAGGCUGACUACAACCCGCCUCAACAAGUUGGUCUAUAUUCAGUUCAAUAACAGGCUGAUGAAUAACAGAGAAAAGAUUAAGUCAAAGAAAAUCACUGAUGUUCUCUUGUCUAGUGAUACAACUGAAGCUCAAGGUUUUCUCCAAGAGGGUGGAGAUGAUUGUGCACAAGUUGUCUUUAGAGAUGAGGAGGAAGAUGAGAUGGAAGGUACAGGGAU